rnacentral:rRNA from 1 species
CUGGCUCAGAUUGAACGCUGGCGGCAUGCUUUACACAUGCAAGUCGAACGGUAACAGGGUGCUUGCACCGCUGACGAGUGGCGAACGGGUGAGUAAUGCGUCGGAAUGUACCGUGUAAUGGGGGAUAGCUCGGCGAAAGCCGGAUUAAUACCGCAUACGCCCUGAGGGGGAAAGCGGGGGAUCGAAAGACCUCGCGUUAUACGAGCAGCCGACGUCUGAUUAGCUAGUUGGUGAGGUAAGAGCUCACCAAGGCGACGAUCAGUAGCGGGUCUGAGAGGAUGAUCCGCCACACUGGGACUGAGACACGGCCCAGACUCCUACGGGAGGCAGCAGUGGGGAAUUUUGGACAAUGGGGGCAACCCUGAUCCAGCCAUGCCGCGUGUCUGAAGAAGGCCUUCGGGUUGUAAAGGACUUUUGUCAGGGAGGAAAUCCCGCUGGUUAAUACCCGGCGGGGAUGACAGUACCUGAAGAAUAAGCACCGGCUAACUACGUGCCAGCAGCCGCGGUAAUACGUAGGGUGCGAGCGUUAAUCGGAAUUACUGGGCGUAAAGCGUGCGCAGGCGGUUGUGCAAGUCUGAUGUGAAAGCCCCGGGCUUAACCUGGGAACGGCAUUGGAGACUGCACAGCUAGAGUGCGUCAGAGGGGGGUAGAAUUCCACGUGUAGCAGUGA